AACUUUCUUUCUUUUGUAGUUCUUAUUCUCUGCUCCUUUAACAUAUUUUUAUAACAACUCCCACUUUGUUCCUAAUAUAUUUGUUCCUAAUUCUAUUUCUCAUAGUGUGCCUACACCAUCUAAAUAUUCUUAUUUCGAUUGUGCUUAUCUUUUAGAUGUGCAAGUUCUUUAUCGGACCAAUACUCAGCCUAAACAACAUAUCUGGUCUAAUAACCACUUUGUAAAACUUACCUUCAAUCCUAAUCACAUAUUUUUAUCCCACAAGACACUGAAUGAGAGACCCCUCCAUAUCCAUACAACUUCGAUACAAUGUAUAAUAUCGUCCUCAAUUUCUCCAUCUCCUUAAAGUAUUAACUCUGAGUUGUGCUUGAAACUUCUUCUCCUAAAAAUAUCUUGCAUAUCAUUCCUCAUCUUUGUAUUUUUAAGGGAAAGGGUCAAAAAUACCCCUCUACUUUAAAAAAUUGGUCAAAUUUACCCUCCUUCAUACUUUGGGGUUAUAUAUAUCCUCACCGUUAUAAAACUUUACAUAUCUAUCCCUCAACUAACAGAAUAACCCAAAUAAUACUAGUUGACCCAUUUUUUUAAAAACCCAAACCUGACCCGACCCGACACAUCAAAUGAUACCAAACAAAUACCAUUUUCUCACAUACCUAAAUCCACAACACGCAUUGACCCAAACAAAUACACAACAACAUUUUCUCACAUACAUUUCACUUCUUCUCACCCUCACAACCUCACUGAAAGACAUUCAAUCGAGAGAGGAGAGUUCUGGCAAUGGAAAACCUGUUUCUCAUCUAAGAUUUUCAGAUCUGUUGAGACAAUCUCUGUAAAGAUUAUCUAAAAUGGUGCUAAUUGACUUGGUAUUUCACUAUGGCGGGGAGUGGAUAAGAGAGCAAAAAAUACUAUAUUCAAGAAAGUUAGUGCGCAAACGCAAAUGGGAAGGAUUUGUGCUUAAGUUGUUAUUUUAUUAGUUUCACAAAAUGAGUGGUGAAGGCACUUCUAAGUAUGGCCAGUUGAAGAGUAAGAAACAAAUGAAAGACAAACAACCAAUGGAGGGCAAGCAAUCAAUGAAGAGGCGAAGAACACUAAUUGAUGAAGAAGAUGUAGAACCAAGCCCCCCCAGAUUCCCAGAUCAUGCAAUAGUUGAGGACGUGGCCUUGACAGCUCCACAGGCUAGUCAAGAAAGCGCAUCAACUCAAUGUUAGCUCCUCUUUGGCGAGUACUUUGAGUAUCGUGGUCUUGAAGUUGAAAAAUAUGUACCUUUGAAGCCAAGAAGUGUUUCAGAGUUCAAGUCUAAAAUCUUACAAAGACAAAAACAACCAAAACCAAUUGGAUCAAGACAAAUCAAGUUUCUUCAUGAUGCUAUAGGUUCAGUUAAACCAAGUGACUUGUAUGCACCAAAAGGGCUCUUAUGGAAUGAUAAUGCAUCUAUUACCGGGAGACAGUUGGAGCAAUUAAGAGUGGAUAGACUUAAGACGAGAAAGGGUAAUGGCAAGGCACAACAGUGAAAAUGUAAUAUUGGCAUGUUCUGUGUAUUAAGACAAGGGAAUGUUCAAUAUUUGAUGGUGAAAAUAGAUGUUCUUUUUUUUUUGUGAAAAUUAUAAACCUGUAUUUUUGUUGCAACUUUUUGGGAUUAUAAGAUGGAAUCCCUAAUGUAAUGAACAAAUUGUGGUUCAGUUUUUAGAUAAUUUAAUGCUUGUUUAUGCCUA